UCCAAUUAACAAAAUAAAAUUAGUAGAAAUAAUAAAAAUAAUAAUAAUAGCAAAUAUAAAAAAUUCAUGAUAGCCAAGCAGGAAAAAAGCCAAGUGGAUGUGGAGGCAAAAGAAUGGAGUUUUGGCUUCUAUUUAUUCCGGGACAGAGUAGCAGUUGAAAAUGGGACCCACAAUGCCAGCUCACCAAGGGGAAUGUCCUUCUCAAGUCUUUCUGGCUUGUCUAGAUGGUGGGUUGUCUGACAAUGCCACGUAGGAUUCGACAUAUGGAAUCUUCUUUGCCAGCAAAACCAACUCCCACUUUAGGGCUUUCAUCACCAUUUCCACUGUGUUUCUAUAAUCACAACCAAUUAGGUUAGGGCUCAUGUCAUCAAUCUUUAUACUGCUAGUCUAUAAGUUGGGUCACAUCAUCUUUCCUGACUUGUAUAAGCAGGUCGCUAGAAUUUUGUCAUUCUCAGACUCUCAGUCUCUUUGCCUCCCCUUCUUUUGCCUAUGUUCUUCAUUUGAAAUUACUCAAUCAACCAACUUAGAUUUCUAAUUCUGAUCAUCAUAGGCAGUGUUCAUUUUGAAUGAAUACUGCUUAUGAUAUGCAUUGUGUCCAAGAGGUUGUAGUAUGCUAAACUUUUUAACCACAAUGGUCAAUGGACGAAAAUCUAUAUAUAUAUAGUCGUCGUGUGUAUGUAUAUACGUACGUCACAAAAAAAAUAAAAAAAAUAACAGUCUAUACAAUACAAUGUCAUGUAUUUUGUGUUCGCAACAAAAUAAUGCCAGCUUACUGUGCAAAGACACAGAGUUUAGACAUUAUACAUUUAUACAGGAAUGUAUGUCUAAAAACUUUAAAAGUGAUACAGAACUCCUAAUCAUAGGCUCUUCAAUGAGUUCAAUCUAUAUGGUUGUGUGAAUCUUUUUUUGACAGAUGAGGAGUUCUAUCAGAUUAUUCUAAAAGCAAAGAUUUUUGGAAAGCACAUCUAAAUUCAUCUAAUCAGGAUCACGACGAGUCGAAAUCCUAAGUCCUAACCCUAAAGCAAAGAAAUUUAGGGGACAAAAUUAAAGAUGCAAUUGAGAAUCAAGAAAUGAAUUCAGUUGCCUAUUUAGACUUCUAUUGAAACAAGAACCAUCAAAGAGUUUGACUCUCAAGUUAUGCAUAAAAUUUAAACCAAAUGAAGCCAACCACCACUUUCAGAGUUCAGACUGGGUGGUCCAACUUUGUGGACCAUAAUCUAUGACCAUGACCAUGAGAGAUCUCUGACUAAAAAUGGUUCCACUUUCAAAUGAAUACACCCAAAUUGACGUCUUGUUUUGAUUGUUGUUUGCAUAUUGAUGUACACCCAGCCAGUGUCGGCUUAGUUGUGGACGUAAAGUCUCAAUGCAUGGAAGAUGAGUAUAAACUACUGUAUAUAUAAAGAACUGAAGAUGACAGAUGACUUGAAAAGAAUAUAUCAAAAAUAAUAUUAAGAACAAGUAUAAUGAAAAAGUCUUUUUUUCAAUGCCCACUAAUAAAAGUUCAAAUUUGCAUUCACCUUUUGUCCUGCUAAAAACAACUAAAUCAUAUGGAUCAACCGACAAUUUUCGACUUCAAUUGUCAUCCAUUCAAACUAUUUUGGGAUAAAUAUAAACAUUCUAAAUAUGAAAUCAAAACAAGCAUCAGAAAAAAAAAAAUGAAAUAAAGAACAUAACGUGCUACACUAGUUACAUACAAUAGAGACAAAUUCAAUUAUAAUAAUUUAUAUUCUAUGGUUUAUGUGCCUCUGUUGAAUUAGAGAAAUAAUUUUUGCUCACUGCAAAGACUAUAUCUCUGAGAGUAUCCCAUACUCUGGAUUUGUAUGCACCAAUUCAGGCUGGUCAAACAAAAUAAAACAUCCCAAUUUCAAUAAUAAAACCAACUGAAAUGUCUCAAGGUUGUUAAAACAACAUCAUCAUAGAGUGCCGAUAAGCAUAUUGUAUUACUUAAUUCUUUAAUAAUGUACACAAGCAAAGUUAGACCUGAGUGACUUCAAACUUAAUGUAUUUUCACCAUUAAUUCAAAUCAGAUUAGCUGAAGGACAAAUCAUGUUUUCCUUAAUUAAAGUUUGUUAUAUAAAGUAAUCAUUUUAUGCAAAGUGGGAUAAGUACUUUCAGAGUUUUAUAUGCAAAAGAUACAAAACCAACAUCCAUAUUGGAAUGAUCAAAUCUUUGCCUUUAUAUUGUACUUUUGGUGCUAAGAUUUGGUUUGAAAUCAGAGUUUCUUUUAUAUACAUUAAAUGUCUCAGUGCUUUCUAUAAAUAUUGAAAAGAAAUCACAAUCAACUUUCUCCAAACUUAUCUUCCUUGCAAACUCAGCACAACUUCACAGCAACUCCCCGUAAAAGGGCCCUGUUUUCUGUGUCCAAAACUCCAGUUCAUGAUAAAAACAAGAAGCUAGGAUAUUUUGUAGAGGAACAGUUAGGUUGUGCUUGUGUCACAAAACAUUCAAACCAAAAUAACCAGGAUGGAGGGGCCUAUCGAUUUCUGCAGUAAAGAAAUACUGUAGUUUUAUUUUACGUAUGCAAUUAAACUAAGGUUGAGAUUAUUAGAAGUUUAGAAUCAUCCAAUUAAUUCAGACUAAUAUCAGCUAGUCAUAAAACUAGAACAACUCAGUAUGGUCCUUUACAGAAUGACACCUUGGCCCCUUCAACAAAGGACUGCCUACAGCAUAUGGGAAUCCUAGGUAGGGCUGUCAGUGGUCAGACUCUGAUUAGAUCCGUGUGCAACUAGGUCCUAGUGUUCUACCUAAACAUGUAUGUAAUUGGCUUUAGUCCAUACAGAGUCAGAUCCUUAUUGGAUCCAGAAAGGUGGAUUCAACACCAAACCAAGACAAAGAUCAAGUCAGAUGUGGAUCCAGUCCACAUUUGAGAAGAGGCAAAAAAACCAUGCAACAUAUGAAUAGUAUUCAAUACCACUUCUUAGCAUCAGAUACAAUUAUACAUGUAUUUUAGUAAUAGAUUAUAAAUUUGAAUCCUUGUCAAACAGGACGACAGAAUCCAAUAAUGAAGGAUACCUGUCAGCAUGGACCUUUAAAUAAUCCUAAAAGAAAGAUCCAGACCCUUGGUUAUGAGAUGUGACAUAUAGGGUACGUGGUGAUUCCUCCAACAUGCAAUUACAGACAUUCAGUCUAAACGCGUACACUCAGAUUGGUAAACCAUCGACAUCAUUAAGUCGAUUGAGAUUACCAUUCGAUAAGGAAACACCCUCAGAGUCAUUAUGUUACAGUGUUACACAAUCAUGUAAAAUUGCAGAGGUACGAACAUGCAUAAUGUUCAAGGUGACUUUCCCAAACUAUAAUCCACCAAAAAUGACCUAAGUGUUGUGAUUCAUGAACACCUGAGCGACAUGAAUAACAGAUAUUUCAGAUACAGCUGAACCCACCUUUUUUAAGAUGCUAUGAUUGCUUUAAUAAUAUUAAAGUAAUACAAAAUAACCAACUUCAUGUGGUUGGUUGCUCACUAUUAACACAAUUCAGACACCAUGGAGUGUGGGCCAUAAUAAUGUAUAAUGCUGGAAGCAUGAGACCACUUACAAUAUAUGGCCUACUGGAAAAAUAGAGAUAAAAGGUUGUUUUAAAGUGAAAGUAAGCUUGGGCCAAUUAAGAUCAGUAGAAGAUAUAGAAAUUCUAGGGCAUACAGCUUACCUGAGACAUCUGCCAUUGUUCAUGUGCACCACCACCUUCACUUGAGAGUACCCUGACAGCCAAGUAAAAUGAAGGAAACAAGAAUCAAAAUUUACCUGAUAAGAGACCAUAUCUAUAAUUGGGGUUUGAAAUAUCAUUUUCGGGCAUCAGAUUAAGCACACGGCUAAACAGUAUCUAGUAAUUGCAAAAGAAAGCAGCACAAAACAACAUGAAGAUAAAAAUUUCAAAUAGUGGCAAUAAAUUUUAUGCAAUUCUUUCUCUAUUUAUUCAAAGUUUUGAAAGCCUAGAUUGAAAUUUUGAAAAAAAGAUUGCAGUUCGAUAUGUGUUCGACUUGAAUAGUGCUUUUUGUGAAGUCCACUAUGCCAUGUUAAAGGGUCCCACUAUGACAUCAAAGAUAAAUGAUAAUGACCUUUAUCAAAACUCAGCUGGCACAACUAGCGGAAAAGGUCUUGACAGAUUUCUGCUCCAUCUUCCAUGAUUAAGGCCUGUAGGGAGUUUUAGCAGGAAACCAUUGAUUUGUUGCAGAACACCUAUAUGUAAGAUAUACCCCGCUCCCACAUAGUACUCUGCAAUUGUUGUUAGCUAUGCACACACACACACACCCCAUAAAAAAAAAAAUUAAAAAUUAUCCACAAGACUAUAUUGAACUUUCCACAUCAAAUUACUUCAAUAGUGAUGGCCCAUAACCGUCUGCAUGACAUUGGACCUCAAUUUUGUAUCACAAAAUCCUGUCUACAUGGGUUGAGACUUGAGAUUAAGCAAACUUCUCUUAAUCCUUAUUGUAAGUAUUCAACCAGAUAAGCAAUAAGUUGCAGCUGAUCAGAGGAGUAGAAAGGCCCUAUAUUUUAAAUCCAUUUGUAAACACAGCAGUUAUAUCGUGAACAAGCACAUCAGCAAAGCAUCACACCUAAAGGAUGUUAUUUAAUUACUAUCGCUUAUGUAGUCCUACUUGAAGCAGUAACAUAAGAAAACUAGCACCCUUCCAACUUGUCUUAGUUUUUAUCGAGAGUUAAAACCAUAACACAACAAAUAAAAAUUGCAUACCCUCUAUAAAUAAUUUGCAGAUGAUAAAACUUGAGAACGAGCUUCAUCCUAAGUUAACUGUACACUCUUUACGUCAAAGUAAUAUCAUAGGUAACAAAUUGAUCGAAACUGUGAGGGCAUAAACUACGGGUGGUUCCUGCUCAAACACUACAAUAUAGAUUUAACAAAUACCUCACUGCCAUUCCCCAUGUAAGAAUACAUGAUGGAGCUACCAGUACAAUUUCCAAAGAGAUGACACAACCAAAUACUCCUUAGUCCUUACUAUUGUACUGACAGAAAAAUAUACUAUUCGUUAAUUGUCAGCAUCAGAUAAAAACAAUCUAUUCUUUUCCGGAAAGGCAAACUUCCUGAGCUUAAAUGCUUGAUCCUAUGGUAAGACAAAGGCUAGUUGCCAUAUCAGUAACUCUGUCAGUUUUUGAACUUUCCAUACAACUAUACCAUAUACAUGUUCCCUUACACAUUUAUAACCCAGUUGCUAGACACACUAGACUUGAUUCAAAUCUAAUUCCUAGAGCUUGGCUACAAAGAACUUGAACACGAAAGCUAUAUACUUUUCGUAGGAAAUCAGUCUUUGAAGCUAGGAGGACUAGAUUAUCUUGCUUGAUCCUAUGGUAAGACGAAGACUAAUUCUCAUAUCAUACAACUAUUACCAUAUACAUGUUCCCUUACACUUUUAUAACCCAAUUGGUUGAAAAAUAUUUACAAAUAUUGAUGCACUAGACUUUGUUCAAAUUUAUCCUAGAGCUUGGAUAAAUUCGUUUUGUAGGCGAUAGUCUUUGUAGCUGGGAGGGCUAGAGUUUCUUGGUGGACGCAGAAUCACUAAGAAGUAAAAGAGCACUGCGACUUCUUUAGAGCAAUUUCUCUGGAAUGGGUAACUCUAGUUAAAUCAUCUAUAACAAAAAUCGAUUAUUGACAGAGUCCUACUUAAACAGUGAUAAUUACAGGUUUCUGACAGUUGGAUAUAUACUGUUCGAUAAGAUAAAAUCAUGAAAUCUUUAUGAAAACCUUACAAGAUAUAACAAUGUACGUCUCAUAAUAUCAUUAAAUUGUUACUGUAUUAGAUUACGAGAUCAUCAUUAGAGAAACACAAAUUGAACUAAUCUAAUAGAAUUUUGAAAUUUAACAAGAACUAUACCAUAAGAAAAGAAAUUUGAAUUGCAAAGUGAUUUUACUUACAUUUGAUUUCGUUCCUUCUGCCAAAAUGUGUAAUUUAGGGAAAAAUUAGCUUCGAUUGAGAGAAGUAAAGUAAACAGAGAGAUGUUUGAAGUUUGAAGAAACCCUAAUUUUGAUUUUGGGUGAGAAAAUAAUUAUUGCCGCGGAAAAAAAAAAUGUGGAGAGAAGCUGC
rnacentral:lncRNA from 1 species